GGGCUCCAAGAUUGAUGGCGAUGCUGCCGGGGACAGUCCACUGAGCACUGCAGCCCCUGCUGCUCGCUUGCUUUUCCAGCUGCGAUGACCUUUUCGGGAGGAAGGAGUGACCAGCCAAUUAGACUCGGGAGUGUGGAGAAGAUCAGAGCAUCUAUGAGGCCCUGCAUGCUUUCAAUUGAGGUUCUGAUAAAUCACGCCAUGGCUGAAGCUGUAAUGAGGAGGCAAGAGUCACCUUUCUGCUGAUAAAGACCAGCCGAGCAGUAGGAAUGGUGCACGUGUUUUCCGCACCUCUCCGAAGAAAUCCAUCUUUCACACCCUG